GCUAAAAAUCUAGCCCCCCCCCCAUUUAAACCUAAAUUCACUCACUAAAACAUUUUAACAUCUUAGUAAAGGCGAUCGAAAAAUUAUCAGGAGCUAUAAAGACAGUACCGCAAGGGAAAGAUGAAAUAAAACUGAAACAAAUUUCAAGCACAAAAAAGCAGAGACUUGCCCUCGUACCUUUUGCAUCAUGGUUUAACUAGUCUAAUCAAGCAAAACGAUUUACAGUUUGACCCCCCGAAACUAGACGAGCUACUUCAGGACAGCUUUAUGAGCAAACCCAUCCCUGUUGCAAAAGAGUGGGAAGACCCCCAAAGUAGAGGUGAUAUACCUAACGAGCCUAGUGAUAGCUGGUUGUCCAAGAAAAGAAUUUUAGUCCAACCUAAAGAACCAUUAAUACCUUUAAAUAACCCCUCUUUAGAGCAAUUCAAAUAAGGUACAGCCUAUUUGAAACAGGAUACAACCUAAACCGCCGGGUAAUAUUUUUAAUGGCAGUUAAGUAGGCCUAAGAGCAGCCACCUUUAAGAUAGCGUUAAAGCUUUCCCUACCCCCUCACCUAAUCCCACACUUAAUCAAGAACCCUCCACCCCUAUUGGACACUUUUAUAUACUUAUAAAAUUUUUUAUGUUAGAACUAGUAACAAGAAGAAGACCUUCUCUUAAUGCAAGUAUAAAUCAUAAAGGACACACCAAUGACUAUUAACAUACAUGAAAACAAAUUAGCAACCCAUCAAGAAAAACCUAUUCCAUAUUAUGUUAACCUAACACAAGAGCAUUACAAGAAAGAUUUAAAGAAAAAGAAGGAACUCGGCAAAUAUUAACCUCGCCUGUUUACCAAAAACAUCGCCUCUUGAUUAGUUAUAAGAGGUCUAGCCUGCCCAGUGACUCUGUUCAACGGCCGCGGUAUCCUAACCGUGCGAAGGUAGCGUAAUCACUUGCCCCUUAAAUGGGGGCUAGUAUGAACGGCAUCACGAAGGUUGUACUGUCUCCUUUUUCUAAUCAGUGAACCUGAUCUCCCCGUGAAGAAGCGAGGAUAAAGCUAUAAGACGAGAAGACCCUAUGGAGCUUUAAACAAGUAACAACUGCCAAUACUUUAAACAUUCCUGAACCCCUCACACCUAUUCUGGCCGCAUGUCUACUAGUUUUAGGUCGGGGCGACCACGGAGUAAAAAAUAACCUCCAUAUUGAACGGAAAUCCCAACUCCUGAGCCUUGGGCUACAACCCUAAUCCCCAAUAAAUUGACAUUAAUUGACCCAAUACUUUGAUCAACGAACCAAGUUACCCUAGGGAUAACAGCGCAAUCCGCUUUAAGAGCUCCUAUCGACAAGCGGGUUUACGACCUCGAUGUUGGAUCAGGGUACCCAAGUGGUGCAGCCGCUACUAAAGGUUCGUUUGUUCAACGAUUAAAACCCU
rnacentral:rRNA from 1 species